rnacentral:rRNA from 1 species
CUGUAUCUAGCCCUAAACCAAUAAACCUUAAUUAUAAAACAUCACCAAAUCAAAACAUUUAUAAGCCUAUAAAAGUAUAGGAGAUAGAAAUUCUAAUUGGCGCUAUAGAGAAAGUACCGUAAGGGAACAAUGAAAGAAAAUCACCAAAGCAACAAAUAGCAAAGUUUACCCCUUGUACCUUUCGCAUAAUGAUUUAACUAGAAUAAUCUUAGCAAAGAGAACUUAAGUUAAUAUUCCCGAAACCAGACGAGCUACUCGCGAGCAGUCCUACCGGGACGAACUCGUCUAUGUGGCAAAAUAGUGAGAAGACUCACGAGUAGAGGUGAAAGACCUACCGAGCCUGGCGAUAGCUGGUUGUCCAGCAAAAGAAUUUCAGUUCAAAUUUAAGUCUACCUAAAAACAACAUAAUUAUACUGUAGGCUUAAAACAUAGUCUAAAAGGGGACAGCCUUUUAGACACAGGCUACAACCUUUUCUAGAGAGUAAGUCCACAAGUACAUCAUAGUUGGCCUAAAAGCAGCCAUCAAUAAAGAAAGCGUUCAAGCUCAACGGUCCUAUUAUCUUAAUACCCAUAAUCGCUACUAACUCCUAGAAUUAAACUGGACUAUUCUAUAAUCAUAUAGAAGAAAUACUGUUAAUAUGAGUAACAAGAAUUAAAUUCUCCUCGCACAAAUGUAUAUCAGAACGGAUAAUCACUGAUAGUUAACGCAUGUAAAGCAACCUAAUUAACAAGUCCUUUACUCUUUUCCCCGUUAACCCAACACAGGAGUGCUCUUAAGGAAAGAUUAAAAGGAGUAAAAGGAACUCGGCAAACACAAACCCCGCCUGUUUACCAAAAACAUCACCUCUAGCAUUUCUAGUAUUAGAGGCACUGCCUGCCCAGUGACAUACGUUCAACGGCCGCGGUAUCCUGACCGUGCAAAGGUAGCAUAAUCACUUGUUCUCUAAAUAAGGACUUGUAUGAAUGGCCACACGAGGGUUCUACUGUCUCUUACUCCCAAUCAGUGAAAUUGACCUCCCCGUGAAGAGGCGGGGAUAUCCUAAUAAGACGAGAAGACCCUAUGGAGCUUUAAUUAACUAGUCUAAGAAUAUAUACUUCAAUCCAACCGGAAAUAACAUAAUCUCAAAUAGACUAGCAAUUUAGGUUGGGGUGACCUCGGAGUAUAAAAAACCCUCCGAGAAAUUAUCAAGCCCAGACUUACCAGUCAAGGCCCUAUCACUUAUUGAUCCAAAUCUUUUGAUCAACGGAACAAGUUACCCUAGGGAUAACAGCGCAAUCCUAUUUUAGAGUUCCUAUCGACAAUAGGGUUUACGACCUCGAUGUUGGAUCAGGACAUCCUAAUGGUGCAGCAGCUAUUAAAGGUUCGUUUGUUCAACGAUUAAAGUCCUACGUGAUCUGAGUUCAGACCGGAGUAAUCCAGGUCGGUUUCUAUCUAUUUUACGCCUCUCCUAGUACGAAAGGACAAGAGAGACAAGGCCUCCUUUAAACUCUUAAGCGCCUUCUAAUUCAACAGAUGAUAUAAUCUCAAUCUAGUGAAUAAUAAAUAAUAUGCCCCAAGACCAGGGCUU